ACGGAUUUUUGUCGUAGCUUGCUAUGAUAAAAAUUAGUGGCAGACGGGUGAGUAAUGCAUAGGAAUCUACCUAGUAGUAUGGGAUAGCCACUAGAAAUGGUGGGUAAUACUGUAUAAUCCCUGCGGGGGAAAGAUUUAUCGCUAUUAGAUGAGCCUAUGUUAGAUUAGCUAGUUGGUAGGGUAAAGGCCUACCAAGGCGGUGAUCUAUAGCUGGUCUGAGAGGAUGAUCAGCCACACUGGAACUGAGAUACGGUCCAGACUCCUACGGGAGGCAGCAGUGGGGAAUAUUGGACAAUGGGCGCAAGCCUGAUCCAGCUAUGCCGCGUGAGUGAGGAAGGCCUUAGGGUUGUAAAACUCUUUCAGUGGGGAAGAUAAUGACGGUACCCACAGAAGAAGUCCCGGCAAACUCCGUGCCAGCCG
rnacentral:rRNA from 1 species